rnacentral:snRNA from 1 species
AUCACUUCUUGGCCUUUUGGCUAAGAUCAUGUGUGAAGAAUAGAUGUAUUUUGUUUUUACACUCAACAGCUAGUUUUAAAGUUAUUCCUUGGAUUAAAAAGAACAAAAAACUGCUUGAAAUUAUAGAAUUUUCAGCCAAGAUUCUCAUACU